UACGGGGGGGCAAGCGUUGUUCGGAAUUACUGGGCGUAAAGGGCUCGUAGGCGGCCAACUAAGUCGGAUGUGAAAUCCCUCGGCUUAACCGAGGAACUGCCAUCCAGACUGCUUGGCUUGAGACCGGGAGAGGUGAGUGGAAUUCCCAGUGUAGCGGUGAAAUGCGUAGAUAUUGGGAGGAACACCAGUGGCGAAGGCGGCUCACUGGACCGGUACUGACGCUGAUGCGCGAAAGCGUGGGGAGCAAACGGG
rnacentral:rRNA from 1 species